rnacentral:rRNA from 1 species
UUUACUGGGUGUAAAGGGUGCGUAGGCGGAUCUGCAAGUCAGAAGUGAAAUCCACGGGCUUAACCUGUGAACUGCUUUUGAAACUGUAGGUCUUGAGUGAAGUAGAGGUAGGCGGAAUUCCCGGUGUAGCGGUGAAAUGCGUAGAGAUCGGGAGGAACACCAGUGGCGAAGGCGGCCUACUGGGCUUUAACUGACGCUGAGGCACGAAAGUGUGGGUAGCAAACAGGAUUAGAUACCCUGGUAGUCCACACUGUAAACGAUGAUUACUAGGUGUGGGGGGUCUAACCCCCUCCGUGCCGGAGUUAACACAAUAAGUAAUCCACCUGGGGAGUACGGCCGCACGGCUGAAACUCAAAGGAAUUGACGGGGGCCCGCACAAGCAGUGGAGUAUGUGGAUUAAUUCGAAGCAACGCGAAGAACCUUACCAGGUCUUGACAUCCAACUAACGAAGUAGAGAUACAUUAGGUGCCCUUCGGGGAAAGUUGAGACAGGUGGUGCAUGGUUGUCGUCAGCUCGUGUCGUGAGAUGUUGGGUUAAGUCCCGCAACGAGCGCAACCCCUACUGUUAGUUGCUACGCAAGAGCACUCUAGCAGGACUGCCGUUGACAAAACGGAGGAAAGUGGGGACGACGUCAAAUCAUCAUGCCCUUUAUGACCUGGGCCUCACACGUACUACAAUGGCCGUUAACAGAGGGAAGCAAUACCGCGAGGUGGAGCAAAACCCUAAAAACGGUCUCAGUUCGGAUUGUAGGCUGCAACUCGCCUACAUGAAGUUGGAAUUGCUAGUAAUCG